rnacentral:lncRNA from 1 species
GCUAGAGCUUCAUGGUGGAUAUCCCCAGUUAGACAGGGGAGUGUUAGCUGCUCGUAAUAAAUACGAUUUUUUCUUUAUCUUGGACAAAUAACUUUUUGAUAUUUAUUUUUUUCUAAAUCAUUAUUUACCAAAGUGAUUGUAAACGUCUCUAAAUUUGUUAAGUUAGGGGGCUGGAAUUUGCGAAGUAAAGUUACUUUUUGGGUUGACUGCGCGUGCUUGCUUCUCUCAGUUUCAGUACAGGAGGAACCAGCAGGUUUAAACAAAAGCAGGGUGAAGACAGUAGCGUUUUUGCGGUGAAUGUGAAAAGUAGCACACCUGCGACCUGGGCUCUCCCUGUUGUCCUCUUUCCACGUUUGGUGCAAUUGAAGUGCGCGUGGAAGAUGCUCUUUUUUUUGGUGACGUCAGACGAGCACGAGGAGCAGGCCUCUGCCCUGUUUUUAGUACAUCAGCGUUAAAAGGGUCACGGAGAGCUGGAGCCUAACCCAGCAACGCAGGACGCAAGGCUGGAGGGGGAGGAGGAGAUACAUCCAGGACAGGACGCCAGUCUGUCGCAAGGCACCCCAAGCAGGACUCGAACCCCAGACCCACCAGAGAGCAGGACCUGGUCAAACCUGUGCCACCGCACCCCCACUGGGGGCACUUUUCAGCUUUUCUGUAAUAUUAGGGAAAAGUGUUUACAGUAUUCAAAACAUUGAAAUUACAAUAAGUGGCAAAGUUUUGAGAAUAAGCACUCUUACAUUAGUUUUCAUAUCAUAAGUGAACAUCUGUCCUAACACGUCUUUGGGUGCAGCCAUUCUCAGUAACGGCGGAAGAAUAAUUCACUAAAAUGAAGAAGUCCCCAAAAAUACAAUACACAUUUGCUGAAACUUGGCGGAGCAAGUUUAAUUAGUAUUUUAACCAGCGUAUUCAGUAAUGUUAACAUAUUGUUAUAUACCACUUAAUAUGCAGUAGUCUAUUUACAAUUAUUAAUGGUUCACAGUCCGCUGUCAAUGAGGAGCUGUUGCAAAUAGUAAAUGUAACUUGACAGAUUGUGAGGCAAAUUAUAUCAAUAUUAAGUGUGAAAAAUUUGAAACUAAUGAGAACUGGGUGACAGAAAUGUAAGAUUAAAAUAAUUUACAAAUGUAAGUAUCAAUGCCCAGAUGUACUCUGAAAAGUUUAGUCAGAAAAUUAUGUAAGUUCACGUGAUGGCAACUAUACUUUAAUUUCUUUUAGGACGUUUUUCCUGGAGUCCUUAGGAAACAUGUUUGUAUGCAUAUGUAAAUACUUAGUCGAGUGUUAUAGACAUUUGAAAUGAACAUGAACAGCAUGUUUUCAUAAUGUAGAGGCAACCUACAAAAACACGGUGAAUAUA